GAUGAACGCUGGCGGCGUGCCUAAUACAUGCAAGUCGAGCGAACAGACGAGGAGCUUGCUCCUCUGACGUUAGCGGCGGACGGGUGAGUAACACGUGGAUAACCUACCUAUAAGACUGGGAUAACUUCGGGAAACCGGAGCUAAUACCGGAUAAUAUAUUGAACCGCAUGGUGCAAUAGUGAAAGACGGCUUUGCUGUCACUUAUAGAUGGAUCCGCGCCGCAUUAGCUAGUUGGUAAGGUAACGGCUUACCAAGGCAACGAUGCGUAGCCGACCUGAGAGUGUGAUCGGCCACACUGGAACUGAGACGCGGCCCAGACUCCUACGGGAGGCAGCAGUAGGGAAUCUUCCGCAAUGGGCGAAAGCCUGACGGAGCAGCGCCGCGUGAGUGAUGAAGGUCCUCGGAUCGUAAAGCUCUGUUAUUAGAGAAAAACAAAUGUGUAAGUAACGGUGCGCGUCUUGACGAUCCCAAGUCAGAAAGCCGCGGCUAUCUGCG
rnacentral:rRNA from 1 species